AUACGUAGGGUGCGAGCGUUGUCCGGAAUUACUGGGCGUAAAGAGCUCGUAGGUGGUUUGUCGCGUCGUCUGUGAAAUUCCGGGGCUUAACUCCGGGCGUGCAGGCGAUACGGGCAUAACUUGAGUACUGUAGGGGAGACUGGAAUUCCUGGUGUAGCGGUGAAAUGCGCAGAUAUCAGGAGGAACACCGGUGGCGAAGGCGGGUCUCUGGUCAGUAACUGACGCUGAGGAGCGAAAGCAUGGGUAGCGAACAGGAUUAGAUACCCUGGUAGUCCAUGCCGUAAACGGUGGGCGCUAGGUGUAGGGGUCUUCCACGACUUCUGUGCCGUAGCUAACGCAUUAAGCGCCCCGCCUGGGGAGUACGGCCGCAAGGCUAAAACUCAAAUGAAUUGACGGGG
rnacentral:rRNA from 1 species